ACACGGAUUGUGGUGUAAGCCUUCCAAGCUCAUGGCCCGGGUUCAAAUCCCGGUCCGCGCA
rnacentral:tRNA from 1 species